rnacentral:rRNA from 1 species
UACGGAGGGUGCAAGCGUUAUCCGGAUUCACUGGGUUUAAAGGGUGCGUAGGUGGCCAACUAAGUCAGACGUGAAAUCCCUCGGCUUAACCGGGGAACUGCGUCUGAUACUGGAUGGCUUGAGGUUGGGAGAGGGAUGCGGAAUUCCAGGUGUAGCGGUGAAAUGCGUAGAUAUCUGGAGGAACACCGGUGGCGAAGGCGGCAUCCUGGACCAAUUCUGACGCUGAGGAGCGAAAGCCAGGGGAGCAAACGGG